CAGGCCUUACUUCUAACAGAAUACUUUUUCAUCGAGUUCACACACCAUAGCACUUGAAUGGGGUGGUACUUCACAAACCACCCUAUGGGUGGAGACUAGACCACAAGACCCCUUAAAGAACUUUCCAAUUAUGACUUUUUUUUUUUAUGAUUUAAAAAAUUGGAAAUUUCCAGGUAACUGAAAAACAAUGGAGAAAAAUAAAGAAAAAAAAAAUCUACACAAAUGCAAGGCCCUCAAUAUGACUUAAGACAGAGAAUAUCCAGAGUUUAAAUAACAGGGGUUACUACGAGAAACUGUGAUGGAGGAAGUUGUUAUCGCUAAUGGCUCUGAAGGUUGUUAACGUUAAUGGAUUAGAACUGGAGGCGUGUUAAACUCAGUGAUUUCAGGUAGCAGGGGAAUUAAAUAAAAGAUUUUCUAGGCUCUG